rnacentral:snoRNA from 1 species
AGGCCAUGACGUGGCAUCUCCUAAGAAAUUCUUUGAGUCUUUCACAUGCUUCAUAUAAUGAUCAUUAUCCAUCUACAUAAAAUUAGUAAUAUCGUUACGCAU